rnacentral:rRNA from 1 species
AACUCCAAUAGCGUAUAUUAAAGUUGUUGCAGUUAAAAAGCUCGUAGUUGAAAUUCUGACUGUAUGGGCUCCAGCCCUUGAGGCGCGAGCACCAGCAGUCAUCCGUCUGCAAAUACAUGUCCUUCCUUAACCGGUUGGCUGUAUGAGUAGGCAUUUUACCUUGAGAAAAACAGAGUGUUCCAGGCAGGUUUGUCCGGAAUGCAUUAGCAUGGAAUAAUAGAAUAUGACUGAAGUCGAUUUAUUGGUUUGAGGCUUUAGUAAUGAUUAAUAGGAACAGUCGGGGGCAUUAGUACUUGUCAGCUAGAGGUGAAAUUCCAGGAUUUGACAAAGACUAACUGAUGCGAAAGCGUUUGCCAAGGAUGUUUUCAU